AGCAGGAGUAGUUCAGCGGUAGAACACCAGCUUCCCAAGCUGGCUGUCGCGGGUUCGAUCCCCGUUUCCUGCUCCAG
rnacentral:tRNA from 1 species